UACAGAGGGUGCAAGCGUUAAUCGGAAUUACUGGGCGUAAAGCGUGCGCAGACGGUUGCGUAAGUCAGAUGUGAAAGCCCCGGGCUCAACCUGGGAAUUGCAUUUGAGACUGCGUAGCUAGGGUGCGGAAGAGGGAAGCGGAAUUUCCGGUGUGAGCGGUGGAAAUGCGUAGAUAUCGGAAGGAACACCAGUGGCGAAAGCGGCUUCCUGGUCCAGCACCGACGUCAGGCACGAAAGCGUGGGGAGCAAACAGG
rnacentral:rRNA from 1 species